CAGUAGCUCAGUGGAUAGAGCAAUGGCCUCCGGAGCCAUGUGCGCAGGUUCGAUUCCUGUCUGGUGC
rnacentral:tRNA from 1 species